rnacentral:lncRNA from 1 species
AAAAGUUUCCUGCCCAAGCACACAGAUAUUCUUUCACAAACCAUAAAGACCCUUUUAUGAAUCCAGCACUGUAACAGGCUGCUUUCCACACCACGUCGAGAGCCCAGUGCGUCAGCUCUCAAGAUAAAAUACAUUGCUAAUACACAAUUAGUGGGAGAGGUUGUCUACUGGAGAAUUUAUCUUAACGAAAGAAGGAAAAAGAAGCUUUUUUUUUUUUUUUUUUUGAAAAAGCAGAGAGGGUGCGGUCAGAUGUUAGGUUUUGCCUGAGAAAAGGGCCUUCCACUGCACUAGUACCUAAAUACUAGCAGAAGCUGCCUGGGAAGAGAGCCAAUGGAAGGACUUUGUUUGACCCAGCUGCCAAUCUCCCCUGAAGCCGUGCGCCAGACUAAACACUCACACUAUUUUAACUCAAAUCAGGCUACAGCAGCUGUUUGCUUUCCGGCUCUGAGCUCUGCACCCACGAUGGCCUGUGCCGUUUACCCAGCGAGCUCUGCUAGCUGCCUGGCUGGAAUCUGUUCCGGGUUGGGAGUUGUCAUUGGAGAGCACGUUUUAACCCUCUUCCUCGUGGUAAAUGUGGACCGUUUGUUGUUCGGCAUUUGGAUCGGGAACAAGGCCCGUACCACGCACCUCUAAGAACAAAGAUGGUACCUAUUCACCCUGACCCAGACUUCUUCGACCCCAGCAAGAUGGAAAGUUGGCAUCAGAGGAGCGGAGAGACUCACGUCAUUCUAAGAGUCAGUACUGACUGCUUAAUGCUCCCGCGAGUUCCUCCAGAAGCAACACCCAAGCACGCAAGUGUUGGAUUUUGUCCAAGAGACCAUGUAAUUUAUGAAGGAAGUGUACGUCAUUCACAUUUUCCAGAAAAGAGGACAAAAAACAGAAGUUGCUGUGCCCUUUUGCAGAUGUUGCUAUCUUGCAGAGAAACUUACGUGUUUGCAGCAAGACCCCUGCAAAAUGUUCCAGCCCCAAGGUCCUAAAGUUACCUUAAACUCAUUAGCAUCCUAUCUUCUCCUCUGGGAGGCUCUGAACAGCAUUUUUAGAUGAUGCAAUGUAUGUAACAGCAUGUUUACCUGCCACCCAUACACCCUAAAUGAAUACAGUUGUUACACAGUCGUUACAAAUAAACCUUGUAGUUUCCGCUCUCUUGUGUUUAAAGAGUCUACCGGCACUGAGCUUGGGGAGACCCUGCAUUGAGA